rnacentral:rRNA from 1 species
GACGAACGCUGGCGGCGUGCUUAACACAUGCAAGUCGAACGGAAAGGCCUGCUUUCCCUUGUGGAUUGCGGGUACUCGAGUGGCGAACGGGUGAGUAACACGUGAGUGAUCUGCCCCCAACUUUGGUAUAAGCCUGGGUAACUGCGUCUAAUUCCCGAUAGGACUGCAGGGUGGUGCCUGUGGUGGAAUACGAUUUUCUAGGGGUUGGGGAUGAGCUCGCGGGCUAUCAGCUUGUUGGUGGGUUAAUGGCCUACCAAGGCGGAGAUGGGUAGCCGGCCUGAGAUGGUGGGCUGGCAUAGUGGGACGGAGAUACGCACCGGACUUCUAAGGGAGGCAGCAGUGGGGCGUAUGGCACCAGGGGGGGAAGUCUGAUGCAGCGACGCCGCGUGGGGGAUGCCGGCCUUCGGGGUGUAAACUGCUUUCGAGCGCGAGGAAGUCUGAUGGUUGGGAGGGUGGUGACGGUAGUGGAAGAAGAAGCACCGGCUAACUACGUG